rnacentral:rRNA from 1 species
UACGUAGGGGGCUAGCGUUGUCCGGAAUCAUUGGGCGUAAAGCGCGUGUAGGCGGCCCGGUAAGUCCGCUGUGAAAGUCGGGGGCUCAACCCUCGGAUGCCGGUGGAUACUGUCGGGCUCGAGUACGGAAGAGGAGAGUGGAAUUCCUGGUGUAGCGGUGAAAUGCGCAGAUAUCAGGAAGAACACCCGUGGCGAAGGCGGCUCUCUGGGACGGUACUGACGCUGAGACGCGAAAGCGUGGGGAGCGAACAGG